UACGUAGGGUGCGAGCGUUAAUCGGAAUUACUGGGCGUAAAGCGUGCGCAGGCGGUUUUAUAAGCCAGAUGUGAAAGCCCAGGGCUCAACCCUGGAAGUGCAUUCGAUACUGGCGAGCUUGAAUAUGGAAGAGGGUCGCGGAAUUCCCGGUGUAGAGGUGAAAUUCGUAGAUAUCGGGAGGAACACCAGUGGCGAAGGCGGCGACCUGGGCCAAUAUUGACGCUGAGGUGCGAAAGCGUGGGAGCAAACAGGAUUAG
rnacentral:rRNA from 1 species